GGGCAUGUUCCCAAGGUCUGUGGCUGGUGUGGCCAUCUGAUCUCCAACUGCAUGCAAGAGCAACUUGCAGAGACUGACAGCUCAGGUCAGCAAAGUAUCUGCAGCUGCCACUUGUCUUUUCUAUCAAA